CCUACGGGAGGCAGCAGUGGGGAAUAUUGGACAAUGGGGGGAACCCUGAUCCAGCCAUGCCGCGUGUGUGAAGAAGGCCCUCGGGUUGUAAAGCACUUUCAGUGAGGAAGAACGCCUGGUGGUUAAUACCCAUCAGGAAAGACAUCACUCACAGAAGAAGCACCGGCUAACUCCGUGCCAGCAGCCGCGGUAAUACGGAGGGUGCGAGCGUUAAUCGGAAUUACUGGGCGUAAAGCGCGCGUAGGUGGCUUGAUAAGCCGGUUGUGAAAGCCCCGGGCUCAACCUGGGAACGGCAUCCGGAACUGUCAAGCUAGAGUGCAGGAGAGGAAGGUAGAAUUCCCGGUGUAGCGGUGAAAUGCGUAGAGAUCGGGAGGAAUACCAGUGGCGAAGGCGGCCUUCUGGACUGACACUGACACUGAGGUGCGAAGGCGUGGGUAGCAAACAGGAUUAGAUACCCUAGUAGUC
rnacentral:rRNA from 1 species